rnacentral:rRNA from 1 species
GACGAACGCUGGCGGCGUGCUUAACACAUGCAAGUCGAACGGAAAGGCCUCUUUCGGGGGGUACUCGAGUGGCGAACGGGUGAGUAACACGUGAGUAACCUGCCCUUGACUUUGGGAUAACUUCCGGAAACUGGGGCUAAUACCGGAUAGGAUCUCCUGCUGCAUUGUGGGGGUUGGAAAGUUUAGGCGGUUGGGGAUGGACUCGCGGCUUAUUAGCUUGUUGGUGGGGUAGUGGCUUACCAAGGCUUUGGAGGGUAGCCGGCCUGAGAGGGUGACCGGCAACACCGAGACUAGGAUACGGCCUAGACUCCUACGGUAGGCAGAAGUGGGGAAUAGUACACAAUGGGAGGAAGCCUGAUGCAGCAACGCCGUGUGCGAGAUGACGGCAUUGGUGUUGUAAGCCGCUUUCGCUCAUGACGAAGCUUUGUGUGACGGUAGUGGGUAAAGAAGCACCGGCUAACUACGUG